GGGACAUCAGUACAGGUGGUGCAUGGCUGUCGUCAGCUCGUGUCGUGAGAUGUUGGUUAAGUCCCGCAACGAGCGCAACCCUUAUUCUUAGUUGUUUUCCCUUUGGGAUUACCCUCUAAGAAGACUGCCUCGGAUAACGGGGAGGAAGGUGGGAUGACGUCAAGUCCGCAUGCUCCUUACGUCUAGGGCUACACACGUCCUACAAUGGGGUCGACAAUGGGAUGCAAUAUCGCAAGAUGGAGCCAAUCCCCAAACGGCCUCUCAGUUCGGAUUGUAGUCUGCAACUCGACUACAUGAAGUUGGAAUCGCUAGUAAUGGCAGAUCAGCAUGCUGCCGUGAAUACGUUCCCGGGUCUU
rnacentral:rRNA from 1 species